rnacentral:rRNA from 1 species
UACGUAGGGUGCGAGCGUUGUCCGGAAUUAUUGGGCGUAAAGAGCUCGUAGGCGGUGUGUCGCGUCGGCCGUGAAAACCUGCAGCUUAACUGUGGGCUUGCGGUCGAUACGGGCAUCACUGGAGUUCGGCAGGGGAGACUGGAAUUCCUGGUGUAGCGGUGAAAUGCGCAGAUAUCAGGAGGAACACCGGUGGCGAAGGCGGGGUCUCUGGGCCGAUACUGACGCUGAGGAGCAAAAGCGUGGGGGAGCGAACAGG